ACGCGAUCGAGUGAAUCAUCGAAUCUUUGAACGCACAUUGCACUGACAGUAAUCGGUCAGUAUGCCUGUUUGAGUAUCAUCCACACCUCAACGGCGAAGGUUGCUGAAAAGCCGUCUCCGCCUUGGAUCUGGGACGUCUAGGCUCGUGAGAGUCUAGUGUCCUCAAAUGGAUGACGUUCGGCGGAAGCUGAGAAGGAGCCACCUCGCCACGAGCGAUUCCUUCACCCAGCCGAGGCCUAGCGUCCUAAACACACCACCAAGGGUUAGCGCCUUGUACUCGUGAUCUCAAAUCAGGCAAGAUUACCCGCUGAACUUAAGCAUAUCAAUAAGCGGAGG
rnacentral:rRNA from 1 species